rnacentral:rRNA from 1 species
UUAAAUUGAAGAGUUUGAUCAUGGCUCAGAUUGAACGCUGGCGGCAGGCCUAACACAUGCAAGUCGAGCGGUAGCACAGAGAGCUUGCUCUCGGGUGACGAGCGGCGGACGGGUGAGUAAUGUC